rnacentral:rRNA from 1 species
AAUCAACGCUGGCGGCGUGCCUCAGACAUGCAAGUCGAACGCGAAAUUUCCCUUCGGGAGAAAGUAGAGUGGCGCACGGGUGAGUAACACGUAGGUAAUUUGCCUUUGGGUGGGAAUAACUCAGGGAAACUUGAGCUAAUACCGCAUAAUGCAGCGGCUCGACAUCGAGACAGUUGUUAAAGCGGGGGAUUGGAGCAAUCCGGACCUCGCGCCUAAAGAGAAGCCUGCGGCAGAUUAGCUAGUUGGUAAGGUAAUGGCUUACCAAGGCGACGAUCUGUAACCGGCCUGAGAGGGCGGUCGGUCACACUGACGACUGA